rnacentral:rRNA from 1 species
UCCGCCGGCGGCGCCCGGGGCGGGUCCGGCGGCCCCCGCCGGGGGGAUUUUUCCCCAAUGGGCGAAACCCUGAGGGACCAAUCCCGCGUGGGGGAGGAGGGUUCUUGGUUGGUAACCUCCUUUUUUCGGGGAGGAGGUUCGGCCGGUCCCGGAGGAUUCAGCUUGGGUUAAUUCCGUGCCGGCAGCGGCGGUAUUCCGGAGGAUCCAAGCGUUUUCGGGAUUUAUUGGGGGUAAGGCUUCCGCAGGUGCCUGUUCAAUUCUGCGGUCAAAGCCCAGGGUUUAACUCUGGCAGGCCAGUGGAAAUUGAGGAGUUGGAGUUCGUUAGGGGUGGCGGAGAUUUCCCAGUGUACCGGUGAAAUGUGUAGAUAUUGGGAGGACACCCCAGCGGAAAGGCUCGGUUUGCCCCGUACGCCUCACGACGAGUGGCCAAA